rfam:Stegodyphus mimosarum contig123078, whole genome shotgun sequence.
GCCUUCGUGGUGUAGUGGUCAGCACGCUCGACGCGUAACCAGAGGUCCGUGGUUCGAUUCCCGACGAAGGCG